GCGGGUGUGGUGAAAUUGGUAUACACGCCAGACUUAGGAUCUGGUGCCGCAAGGCGUGAAGGUUCGAGUCCUUUCACCCGCA
rnacentral:tRNA from 1 species